rnacentral:rRNA from 1 species
UACGAAGGGGGCUAGCGUUGCUCGGAAUCACUGGGCGUAAAGGGUGCGUAGGCGGGUCUUUAAGUCAGGGGUGAAAUCCUGGAGCUCAACUCCAGAACUGCCUUUGAUACUGAAGAUCUUGAGUUCGGGAGAGGUGAGUGGAACUGCGAGUGUAGAGGUGAAAUUCGUAGAUAUUCGCAAGAACACCAGUGGCGAAGGCGGCUCACUGGACUGGUAUUGACGCUGAGGUGCGAAAGCGUGGGGAGCAAACAGG